rnacentral:rRNA from 1 species
AGUGAACGCUGGCGGUAGGCCUAACACAUGCAAGUCGAACGGCAGCACAGUAAGAGCUUGCUCUUACGGGUGGCGAGUGGCGGACGGGUGAGGAAUACAUCGGAAUCUACUUUAUCGUGGGGGAUAACGGAGGGAAACUUACGAUAAUACCGCAUACGACCAACGGGUGAAAGCAGGGGAUCUUCGGACCUUGCGCGAUUGAAUGAGCCGAUGUCGGAUUAGCUAGUUGGCGGGGUAAAGGCCCACCAAGGCGACGAUCCGUAGCUGGUCUGAGAGGAUGAUCAGCCACACUGGAACUGAGACACGGUCCAGACUCCUACGGGAGGCAGCAGUGGGGAAUAUUGGACAAUGGGCGCAAGCCUGAUCCAGCCAUACCGCGUGGGUGAAGAAGGCCUUCGGGUUGUAAAGCCCUUUUGUUGGGAAAGAAAAGCAGCAGGUUAAUACCCCGCUGUUCUGACGGUACCCAAAGAAUAAGCACCGGCUAACUUCGUG